CAAAGGAUGUUAUUAUUCUCUGUCUUGAAGCACAGCCUGGAGCAGAAUGGCCAGACUGGGAAAGGAGCCUCUCAAAGUGACUCACCAUCACCCUCUCCUGAGUAAUGGUCUGCGGUUCCAUCACUCACUCUUGUCAACACAUCGGGCUGGACAUAGUUGGCCCUGAGCCAGUGGCUGGAUGAGUACACGGAACCCUGUGGCAGGUACUGGAGAUGGAAGGUUUGGGGGAGAACAGACAUGCACAGACACGUCCUGGAUGACCGUGGGUUGUCACACUGACAACACUAACCGUCACAUCAGGCCACCAAGUGUCAUCUAAGCAAGUGGAAUGUGCCUCCUAAAGCGUUCGACAAAGUCUGUGCCCACCUUGAAGGCUUCUCUCUGCCUGUUGCUUCUGUCAACACACAGAGCCAUCUCCCUGUGGCUCAUCUCUACUCAGAUAAGUAUCGUAAAGACCCGUGUCCCAGGACCCUGUUAAUGCCUCCCAACACUCCUUACUAUGCAAUUACAUUUUCUAGUUUAAGAAAAGCAGUUUCAUGGUCAUGGAGAACUAAAAUUGUUACGCUCAGGUCACUAGCAAACACUCAGCACGCUGGUAUCUCAUAGAUGAACCCGCAGUUCAUCAUCGCACUGAACUUUGCUCUUUCCGUCUCUGAAAUCAAGACAGCCACCGGCAGAAUUCCCACACAUGCUUGUAUUCUGAAAAGGACAAUGUCUGGUCCUAAAGAAUAUUCUAGGCAUGGUGGCAUAUCGAAAAAAAAAAAAAGACUUAACAGGAAAGAGUGUCUGCAGUUGGACUGAGGGUUAUAAUUUAGGCCUGCAUUAAUUCUUUUAUUCAAGACUUAAUAGGAAAAGGUCUAAGACAAUCCAUUCUUGGAGACCAGCAGUUCAAUGGGGCUAUGACACAAUGAUGUAUAUCAUUGGAACACAUGGCAAAAGGCUUCUGGCUAGGAAGGAAGCUUCUCACAGUAGUUAACAUUUAGGACUUCAAAGGCUGACAACCCAGCUUUGCUUACUGGCUUUGACCUUGACUAGCUGCACGUCCUUGUUCAUGUUUCCUGAGCCUGGUUCUCCUCUUUUGUGAAUCGAGGAAGGAGAGCAGGUUUGUGCAUUCAGGCCGAGAUCUGGAAGACAUUCAGGCAUUCCUCCAAGUUGACACCUCCAUGGUGGCUGGUUCGUUAGUUUCAGGAGGAGGUGGUCAAAGGUGGUCUUCAGGAGAGGCAGUGGGGAGGUACUUGCUGGCUGCAUGGGCCAGAGAAAGGGUUGAUCUUGGCAACCUGGGGUAUAUUGUUUCUAUCUCUGCAGGUCACAUUUCAAGAAAGUUGAAAAGUGUUUGGUGUCCAUCCCUCUGAAGACAUGAGCAGCCUCAGUGCAGGGCACUCAGAGCUCUGCAAGUAAAGGGAGGAAGGAACUUCUCUGCUCUUUGACAAUCACAGUCUCCCUUGGCAUUCCUGACAUGCUCAGUGUUUGUACUCACCGAAGUGCUGUAGCUGCAAACUCACCCUCUUGCCAAAGAUUGAGGACAGAGCUCAGGUGCAUCCGUGGUGCUUGCCUUCUUUCCUGUAUCCUGCAGUGUUCCCAAGCCUGUCCAUUCAGCCUUUCUACUGCCACUGUUCUGUGCAGGGCACUGGUGUCUUGUUUUCCUUUUCUUUUCUUGACACACACACACACACACACACACACACACACACACACACACUUGUUUUUGUUGUUAUUUUGAGCCAUUGUCUCAUGCAGCCCUGGCUGGCCUUAAACUCCAUAUGCAGGCAAGUACAACCGCGAACUUCUAAUCCUCCUGCCAUCACUUUCCAAGUGCUAGAUUACCACUAUGCACCACCAAACCCAGGCUUCACUGUCAUCUUUCAUCUGGUGGUGGCAAUAGCCAUACUGAACCUUCUGCUUCUUUCUUGCCUGUGGCAGUUGAGAAUGGCUGGAUAAUCCCCAUGGAUUCACUCUGCUGGAAGUCUGUCACAGUUCCCUAUAUUAACCUGAUACCCAUUCUCUCACUUUCUGAUAGAAUCCGAACCUUGCAAAAUCACACAUCUCUCUUCCCAGACACCCUGACACCUUUGUGACCAGAUUCCACAGUGGGCUGAGGCAGAAGCCUGUGGGCAGGGCUUCUUGGGAAGCUGUGGUUUCCUGACAAUGAUGGACAGAUUCAACUGACAUAAAGCACCUUUUGAAAUUCGCCCUUCAUUCUGUCUGUCACACAGAUCUAUGCCUGGGGGAGGGGGUGUCAUCCUCACACCAGAAAAAUGAAAGUUCUUCAUGGGGUAGAUAGAGCAGGAAGCUAGCAGAAGUCUAUUUGCCUUAUUUCCUGGAACUGCCACUGAAACCCACAACUAUUUAGCUCCAGAUUUCUUGGUUGUGUGAAGAAAAGAAACCUUUAUUUGAUGCAGUAACUGUAUCCUGGUUUCUGUCACUGAAGUCAGACUCACCCUCAACUGAUACUCUUCCACCAACCACAGAGCAGCUCACAUACUGCAGCAGGCACCAAACCCCUGGAACAUCUGAUAUAAACCCAGAGCCUUCAUCCAACAAACAUAUUCCCUCCUAAGUGAUCCUGCAGUGUGCCAUGGCUGACAGUGUUUAAAGCACCCAAGGAGAGAGCACAGAUGGACCACAGAGGACAAAGAGAUGAACACUGAGCUCUGCAAAACACACUUAGAUGAUCAUCAAAAUGAAUAGUCUUGACUCAGAGGGGAUUUUCUAAGUGGCCACUAUAUCUUUAGCCUUAUCACUGGCCACUUGCAUCACCUGAUUUGCCUUGGCCUCUCUGCCUUUUGAGUAACUGUUUCUGUGCUGAGAAAAGUCCCUUCCCCUUGCCAUAUCCGGAGCUGGUAAGAUUCAGCUCAAAUACCACCUCACUUGGAAAGUCUUCUGGGAUUGUCAAACACUGAGGAGCCCUUGCAAAGUUCCAGAAGACAAGGAAGAGGGCAUGUGUGCAUGGUCAUGUUUGUACGCCCCAAACUCACUUUGAUAUAAACCAGGUGGGAAAGAUGGGCCGCAGCCUUUAGCAGAAUUUUAAGUUUUAAUUGGUUUCAUUUAAAUCCUCUUUUAAUUAUAACUCCUGGAGUCUGCAAUCUGUAGCCAGAUUUAAAUGUCUGCCCCAGAAGUUUGUUAUUUUUAGUGGGCUGUUUUCUGCUUUUUACUUCUCACUUAGAUUUCAGGAAUGAGAGUCAACCCUGGGCAUAAUAGAAGCCACUGGACAGGCCCCAGGUGGAGCCAGGAUCAACUCGUUGAGUCCUUUUAUGUGCUGCCCUAGCUCUCUAGGGAGAAGACAUGACCCAAUUUGAUAUUGGUGGGACUCAUUCAUUCACUAAAUCUUGCAUUCAUCCAAUUAUUCACUCCAUCACUCUAUACCGACAAGAGUAGCAUGGUUUCACGUAAAAGGAACAGAACUCAAGAGGAAAGAGUGCCUUCAGGAUGCAGGGCUGUGGGCAUUGAGCUGGAGUGCUUUCAAGUCUACCAGACAUUGCCAAGCAGCUGUGGUUGUGCCAAUUUACACUCCUACUAGCCCUGUAAGUAUGUUCUUUCUUGCAUCAUAAUCUUGCCAAAACUCAGUAAUGUCAGAUAUUUUGAUUUUGCCAAUCUGUUAUGUGUGAAACGGUAUCUUGUUGUUUUAACUUGAAAUUCCCUGCUGACAGGUGAGGCUAUGGGUUCUGGAUACACUGAUUUUGAAAGAAGUGGCCUUGGUCCGAUGUGUGCUUUAGCACUUCGUGAGCCGGUGGACUCUUCAAGAUGUGUUUGAUGAGGGCGGGGAGCAUGGCUCAUCCUAAACUCAGGAAGCUGUCCCAGGUUGACUUCACAUGUGUGCUUCCGUGUUCCCACAUUGGCACACCACACAUAAGAACAUUCACAUGUGUGUGUGCACACACAGAGAGGGAGAGAGACAGACAGACAGACACAGAGAGACAGAGACACACAGAGAGAACCACACACACACACACACACACAGAGAGAGGGAGAGAGACAGACACAGAGAGACAGAGACACACAGAGAGAACCACACACACACACACACAGAGAGAGAGAGAGAGAGAGAGAGAGAGAGAGAGAGAGAGAGACAGAUUAAGCUUUCCUCCAGGAAGCUAUUUCUGACUCUAGCCUCCACGCUGAGCUAGGUGUUCUUUCUAGGCCCCAUUUACUUCACUCUACGAGACUAUCCAUUCUGCUAUAUCCUAAACUUUUAACUCCCCUAAGAGAAUGAAAAUUCAUGUGUUGGUUAUCUAGAAGGAUGAAACCCAUGCUGUGUCUCCUAAGAUUUAGCUUUCCAGCUUCAGUUCCCUUGUCUGUGAAGUGAAAAUGAUACAGAAAUCUUGAGAGCUGACAUGAGUGUUAAGUGAUGAAAAGAGUGCAAUGUGACUGAUAAAUAGUUAAAGCUCCCGGUGCAUCCUAGCAGUUAGAAUAAGAGGUUCUUUGGUGUGGCAAGAUAAGCCGUGGGUGUAAUAGUGGUAUGGAUGUUGUGGGGUAAUCAAGUGCUUUAUGGUUGGAUUGAAGGCCCCCAACACAGGAAGAAAUGCAAGCCUGGUAGUAUAAAUCUGCUCAAGAACCUGUGGCUGGUAGCUCAUAGGUCCCAAGGAUGAACUUACUGUCAUUAAUUUGCUAAAUAGACAGUUUCCAACCGUCCUCUAAAUCUGUAUCUCUGUAACCACACAUAAUGAAGCUCCCAGCCUCAUGAGGAAACUUUCUUUGUUCAGUGGUGGCAGUUAAAGCAGAAACUCACAACUGGUCAAAAUACAGGUAACAAGUAUCUGUGGAGCACUGAGACACAAGUGGGGCAUCUUUAUCACACGCUUCCUCUCAAGGUCCAGGGACCAGUGUGAAAGAGGGAGCAGAAGACUGCAAGCUCCAGAGGCAAGGAGGAUGGAGGCAACAGCGUUUUCCUGUGCACAUGUCAGGACUGCUGUACUCAAGAACUCAUAACAACUGUGGCUGGCUGCAUGAGAUCUAUACAAGAUCGAGCCAGUCAACAUUCUAGCACAGAUGGGGAAGGGGCUCACGAGACCCCAGCUCUAUCUGACGAGCUAUUGAUGGUUGGCUUCUGGAGGAGGGAGAGUCCAUCUUCUUUAAGGAUCUGGUUCUUGGUAGGUCAACCAUGUUCUAGUCGAUAGCCCUGAACCUAUAAGUGUAUAGUCAGCACAAAUUGCACUAGGAGGGUUAUAAGGAAAUAAAAGAAAAUAAAAGAAUGCCAAAUUGGGAGGGUGGAAACUUAGUGGAUACAGAUAGGAGGAGUAAUACAGAAUGAAUGCAAUCAAAAUAUAUUGUAUAAUGCAUGAGGUAUGAAUAUAAAUAUACUAGAAAAAAACUAAAAACCCAUUUGAACCCAGAAAAAAAAGAACAACAGCAGGAUUUAAUCUUUUUGUGUCAUGAACUAUACAACUUAGAAAAACAAAAAUUCCCAUAUGCACAAAAUACUGUGCAUAAGUUUGUGGACUUUUUAUAGACUCGGAGGCCAUAGCUCCAAGUAAGAACCUACAAUUAGAUAUAUUUCGAAAUUUCAAUGACUUUUAUUGAUAUACUGUCCUGGUUAGCUUUACUUGUCAACUCGACACAGCCCAGAGUCAUCUUAGAAGACAGCUUUGAGUAAAAGCUGAGUAUAGGCCAUCCUUCAGCCAGCUAGCAAGCAGCAGCCUCCGCGGUGGUUCCAGCUAUGCAUCAUCCGUGAAGUGAGUUCCAGUUCCUUGGUCAGAGGAACUGCUGUGUGGAAGAGCUGGCAGACCGCCUUUGACUUUCUUCUUUGACUUCCCUCAGUGAUGGACAUGACAUGGAAAUACAAUUCUUUCUCCUCUAAGUUGUUUUGGUCAUAGCGUCUUACAGAAAGGGAACUAGGACAUAGGCCCUAGGAUAGGCCCACAAUCCAAAACUCCCACAGGUGUUUACUAAGAGAGAACUGCUGACGGAGUUAAUUUUGAAAUAAGUCAGAUUCCCCCAUCAUCCUCAGUGAAUGGCGAUUUAAAGCCUCAGGUAAACCUUCCCUGCCCAUCAUCUUCAAGAAAAGUGGACUCUCAGCCAGUUAAGAGACCUUGGCUUUUGCUGACAUGGAGGAAACAAUGGCCCAAAGCUUUCUCCAAGUGACCAGCAAGAACUCCCACUGUCUCCAUGGGCCAUCCUUUCCAGUGUCCUCACACAGUUCAGUUAAAAAAAAAAAAGCCCUAGUUUCUUCCAACUCUAAAACAGGCACAAUGUGAUUCUGAGGUGUGUAACUGUGUUCUGCUUCCUGCUACAGCACUUUUUAAUUGGAUAUCCUGAGGCCCCAGAGAUCAGAGUGCUCUCUUGUAAUGGUGCAUUCCAGAAAAAUCGCUGCCAUUGGAUUACAGUAAAGAAAGGUUCUUCAGCCAUUAGGCACUUUUCACCUGGGCCUGUCGGGGCUUUUUGUUAUUUACAGAGUGAGGAAGAAGUGAGUCCUUCCUAAGGUUAUCAAUGAGGUGAGUAAAAGAAGAAGAGUUUAAUGUGUCCUCUCACUCGUCAGAGGGCAAACUUCGGUGCUCAUCUUCCUACUUUGAGACAGUUUGUUCACCACUGUUAGCCAGGCUAGCGACCCCUGCCCUGCCCCCAACACACACCAUGAAGACUUUUGAAGAGUCUCCUCUUUCUGCCUCUAAUCUCCCUAAGGGGGAAGAUACUUGAGCUAUUGCAGCUGGCUUUUUACAGCUUUUACAUGGGUCUGGGGAUUUGAACUCAGGUGUCAGCCCUGCGGGGUAAGCGUUUUACUCAAUGGACUACUGCCACAGGCCCCAUGAUUAUUCUUUAUAUGUCAUUCAACUAGAUGGUCAUAGGAACAAGGACUCAAGUCCUGAUCUUUCAGAGUCACAUAGUUUAUGAUAUGCAGUAUGCACUAAAUAUUUAGUGAAUGAAAAAUAUGAUUUUCUUUUUAAGGUUAAAAAAGACUGGUUUUCAAAUGCUAGAACUCCAUUUCCUGUGACCUUCAUGGAAAGUCAAUGAGAAUAUCAAAUUUCUAAGGAAUAAAGAAGUGCAAGGGAGCAUUCUUCUGAAACAGCAUUAGAGUCUGUGACACAAUUUGCCAAGUACUUGGGCACACUGGGCCCCAUAAAUGUAAUAACAAUGUCUUCUGAGUGCCUUUGAAGAUGGUCAAAGUCAAAGGCAAAAAUAACAGAACCAGCCGAAAGACAGCUAGGAUCAUUAGCUGCUAUUUGAAACCCAGAGGCAAACAGACAUUAAGCUCCUGGAACCAGUCAGAGAAGGAGCCAUCAGUCAGCCAUGGAGGCAAGGACAGAAUUCCAGAUCCAUAUGAGCUGAGAACUCCCAGAAUAUGCCGCCUGCCCCUCAUCUCUCAUCUUCUCUCUCUCCUCCCCCUUCCUUCUCUGUCAUCAAAACAAAAUAGAGUUCUUGGGCUGUGGAGAUGAAUCAGUAAAGUAAAGGCAUUUGCUGCCAAGCACGA